AGGGUGUAUGGUUUUUGCUCUAGACUAAUUUAAUCUUAACUUAACACAUGGUUCUAGAAGGGUAGAAGGGAGGUAAUAGGCUUUAUAUAUUUCCUAAAAGGGGGCAUUUUUAAAGCUAACAAAUUAGGCUAUUAAUACAAUAAAAACGGCCGAUUAAUUUUCCCAACACCAGUGCGUAGUUUUGAAAAAAUUGGACACAAAGAUUCAGGGCUGGUUAAACGUGGGGGACAAAGUUGGUGCCAGCAGUCGCGGUCACACCAACCCCCAUAUUAGUUUUUUCGUGAUACAGAAAAAGUGAUAGCACAGGUAAAAUAAAACUUAUUAGGUGUAUAAUUCAUAAUCAGUAGAGUCCAAAUUUUCUCUGUUAAUCUUAAAUCUAAAAAGUCUGCAAAUGAGACCGGGAUUUGAUACCCCGUUAUUAAUGAUGUUCAAUUUAUCACGGUUAGUACAAGUUAUAAUUUGCUUAAAAGCUAUAAAACUUGGCGGCACACCAUAUUCUUUCGGGGGAACUUGACGGUUAAAUCGAUGAUCCUCGAAAUACUUUACCCCUUUUAUUCUUGCUAUACCGCCGUUGUCAGUUAAUUCUUUAAAGAGAAAAUUUUUCAUAAUAAGUGGAGAGGCUUUUCCAUUUAUGAAUUCAGGUAAACGUAGUGGUUAAAAAGGGGGCUUAGUUGAGUUACUUUAUUUAUUAGGGAUGGUUAGUUGAAAAAAUAACCUAAACUUGGACUCGAUAGUAAUGUGAGUAGUAAGAGAUGUCUAAUGAACUUGAUAUUGGCGUGCGUACAAAUUGCCCGACACCCCCGUAGAAGUUAUGGGGUAAGUCGUAACAUGGUAAUACUACCAGAAGGUAGUGUUUUUAUUAA
rnacentral:ncRNA from 1 species